rnacentral:lncRNA from 1 species
CUGCCUCGAUGUCCUGCUUAGGGACUUCUGAGCAGCUGCUGGGUGUCCCACCUCCCGCGAACCCAGAUCCUCAGUGGCUGUGCCCAGGUGCCCGUAGGACUUCAGUCCUACCUCUUUCCACCUCAGCCCUGCCUGCCGGCACCUUCACGUGCUCCUGGACCAGGGUUCCCAUGGCCCAUUGGUGUCUGCUCAGGGGACGUUCUGCAGGUGCCUCUCAGAGGACCUCAUUGUUGGACUAGGUCUUCCCCCGGGACCCCGACAAGCUGCCUGAUCUUCCGGGGAAGAGCCCUCGCUCCUUCCUGUGAAAGGAUUGUUCCCGGCAUAGCUGCAGCGAGCGUCUGCGUGAAGACGCGGCGCUUUGGAAAUGCGGUGUCUGCUUUUCCGUCGUCCCCGCUUCUCAUCUUCAGAAGAAACCUUAGACGGAGCGUUAUCGAGUUCUUCCCAGAGACAGGCUGCACAAAGCAUCCUCACUGUCUCUCAGAACGACAGUAUCUUUCAGAAUCUCCAGCACAACUUGGGGCCGUGUUUCCUCUCCUAAAUCUCGGCCGCCUGCCUCCGAUCCAGUUCCGCUCUUCAAGCCACUUUACAGCUAAAUCCUCCCCCGUCACCGUAAUAGUUUCUUUACAAAGGCCACGCGCUGACUGUGAUCCUUGACUGACUUACGUCGCGCUUACCAUCUUCCUGUUCUCAGAAUCCUUAUCCCUUUCAAGAGGAUUCUAAAAAUAUCAGCGUAAGCCCCCAGCUAACUUCUAAUCCUCGCUUCCAUUUGUGUUGACAGACGGGCGCUUCAUCGCCCGCCCUUGCCCUUGCUUGAUCAAGCAAUUCCGACCUUCUCCCAAGUUUGAUUAUUGAUGGUCCCGGACGUCACCCCCUAUCAGUGGCAUCGAGUGACCGGGGCCAGGGGAGCAAGAGGCGGCCAGGACGCAGAGGCGCCGGCAAGACACAGGCUCUGCAGAGGGUGGGAGAAGAGCCCCGUGACGGUGCCGCGGCUCAGCAGGGGAUCUGCAGCGCUGCCUUGGUCGGGGGUGCGUCGAGAUCCUUCCGAAGGGGCGCACUGGAGACAAGAGCCUUGCCCCCGGUUCUGGAGUGGCCUCCUCCCCACUCAGGAGUAACACCCCUCCCUGUACCAGGGUGACUCCAAGGGCUGCCAGCUUCGAGGGCCCGGAGCAGGGGAGGGCUAGCAGCCCUGCCCCUUGGCCACUCAACCUGGCAGGGCAUCUGGGGUCGGAAAGGACACUGUCUGGAAUUCAGGACUCGCCCCACAGGAGGGUCAGUGCAGACGCCUCGGCUGUGCAGCGAGGCUGGUCGCACCCCUGCCCUCCUUGUCCGCUGUGGCAGAGACAGGUUGGUAGAGACGGGACUUGCCGCCAUGGGACACAGCGCUCCUGUCCUGGGCUGGAUUCUGUCACACUGUGUCCACUCCCACGUGGCCCGGAGAGGCGGGGAUCUCCCCGUGGACGGGCCUCAGGCAGGGCACCGGCUCACACAGUUGGGGAGAAGGACUGGCCCUAGGUGAAGAAGCCACUUGUCGGCUCACAGGCCCAGGCUGAUGACUUGGCCAUGGUCAGGGGCCUGGAAGGAGAGGUCGGAGGGUCAGACCAAGGUCCGGCAAGAGGCGGAGCUCCUGCUGUGGCUCAGAGAUGAGGAACCCAAC